CCCUGUUCCUUAGCAAGGCA
rnacentral:snRNA from 1 species